UAGGGAAUCUUCCGCAAUGGGCGAAAGCCUGACGGAGCAACGCCGCGUGAGUGAUGAAGGUCUUCGGAUCGUAAAACUCUGUUAUUAGGGAAGAACAAAUGUGUAAGUAACUAUGCACGUCUUGACGGUACCUAAUCAGAAAGCCACGGCUAACUACGUGCCAGCAGCCGCGGUAAUACGUAGGUGGCAAGCGUUAUCCGGAAUUAUUGGGCGUAAAGCGCGCGUAGGCGGUUUUUUAAGUCUGAUGUGAAAGCCCACGGCUCAACCGUGGAGGGUCAUUGGAAACUGUAAAACUUGAGUGCAGAAGAGGAAAGUGGAAUUCCAUGUGUAGCGGUGAAAUACGCAGAGAUAUGGAGGAACACCAGUGGCGAAGGCGACUUUCUGGUCUGUAACUGACGCUGAUGUGCGAAAGCGUGGGGAUCAAACA
rnacentral:rRNA from 1 species